CCUACGGGCGGCAGCAGUGGGGAAUAUUGGGCAAUGGGCGCAAGCCUGACCCAGCAACGCCGCGUGAAGGAAGAAGGCUCUCGGGUUGUAAACUUCUUUUAUCAGGGACGAAGCAAGUGACGGUACCUGAUGAAUAAGCCACGGCUACCUACGGGCAAGCAGCCGCGGGAAUACGUAGGUGGCAAGCGUUAUCCGGAUUUACUGGGUGUAAGGGGCGUGGAGGCGGGAAAGCAAGUCAGAUGUGAAAACCAUGGGCUAAACCUGUGGCCUGCAUUUGAAACUGUUUUUCUUGAGUACUGGAGAGGCAGAAGGAAUUCCUAGUGUAGCGGUGAAAUGCGUAGAUAUUAGGAGGAACACCAGUGGCGAAGGCGGUCUGCUGGACAGCAACUGACGCUGAGGCGCGAAAGCGUGGGGAGCAAACAGGAUUAGAUACCCUUGUAGUC
rnacentral:rRNA from 1 species